GGCCUCGUGGCCAAAUGGAUAAGUUGUCUGACUGCGUAUCAGAAGAUUCCCGGUUCGAGUCCUGGCGGGGUCG
rnacentral:tRNA from 1 species